rnacentral:rRNA from 1 species
UACGGAGGAGGCAAGCGUUAUCCGGAAUUAUUGGCGUAAAGCGUCCGCAGGUGGCACCUCAAGUCUGCUGUCAAAGACCGGGGCUUAACCCCAGAAAGGCAGUGGAAACUGAAGUGCUAGAGUGCAGUAGGGGUAGAGGGAAUUCCCGGUGUAGCGGUGAAAUGCGUAGAGAUCGGGAAGAACAUCGGUGGCGAAAGCGCUCUACUGGGCCAUAAACUGACACUCAGGGACGAAAGCGUAGGGGAGCGAA